rnacentral:rRNA from 1 species
UACGGGGGGGGCAAGCGUUGUUCGGAAUUACUGGGCGUAAAGGGCUCGUAGGCGGCCAACUAAGUCGGACGUGAAAUCCCCAGGCUCAACCUGGGAACUGCGUCCGAUACUGGAUGGCUUGAAUCCGGGAGAGGGAUGCAGAAUUCCAGGUGUAGCGGUGAAAUGCGUAGAUAUCUGGAGGAAUACCGGUGGCGAAGGCGGCUUGCCAGAAUGCGCUCGACGGUGAGGGAUGAAAGCUGGGGGAGCAAACCGG